GACGAACGCUGGCGGCGUGCUUAACACAUGCAAGUCGUGCGGUAAGGCUCCUUCGGGAGUACACGAGCGGCGAACGGGUGAGUAACACGUGAGCAAUCUGCCCUUCACAUCGGGAUAAGCACCGGAAACGGUGUCUAAUACCGAAUACGACCACUUCCGGCAUCGGAUGGUGGUGGAAAGUUCCGGCGGUGAAGGAUGAGCUCGCGGCCUAUCAGCUUGUUGGUGGGGUAACGGCCCACCAAGGCUUCGACGGGUAGCCGGCCUGAGAGGGUGACGGGCCACACUGGGACUGGUGCACGGCCCAGACUCCUGCGGGAGGCAGCAGUGGGGAAUAUUGGACAAUGGGCGAAAGCCUGAUCCAGCAACGCCGCGUGAGGGAUGACGGCCUUCGGGUUGUAAAAUUCUUUCACCGGGGAAGAUAAUGACGGUACCCGGUGAAGAAGCCCCGGCUAACUUCGUGCCAGCCGCCGCCGUAACAC
rnacentral:rRNA from 1 species